rnacentral:rRNA from 1 species
GGUUUGAUUAUGGCUCAGAUUGAACGCUGGCGGGAUGCUUUACACAUGCAAGUCGAACGGCAGCACGGACUUCUCGGUCUGGUGGCGAGUGGCGAACGGGUGAGUAAUGUAUCGGAACGCCUAGUAGCGGGGGAUAACUACGCGAGCGUAGCUAAUACCGCAUACGACCCUUCAAAAAAGCGGGGACCUUUCGGGCCUCGCACUAUUAGAGCGGAUGAUAUCGGAUUAGCUAGUUGGUGGGGAACCGCUCACCAAGGCGACGAUCCGUAGCUGGUUUGAGAGGACGACCAGCCGCACUGGGACUGAGACACGGCCCAGACUCCUACGGGAGGCACAGUGGGGGAAUUUUUGACAAUGGGAAAACCCUGGAUCCAGCCAUCCCGGCGUGUGCGAUGUAAGGCCUUCACAGAAGCACUUUUGGCAGGAAAAGAACGGCAAUGGAUAAUACCCGUGUAACCGACGGUACCUGCAGAAUAAGCACCGGCCACCACGUGCCAGCAGCCGCGGUAAUACGUAGGGUGCAAGCGUUAAUCGGAAUUACCAUGUAAAGCGUGUGCAGGCGGUUCGGAAAGAAAGAUGUGAAAUCCCAGAGUCAACUUUGGAACUGCAUUUAACUACCGAGCUAGAGUGUGUCAGAGGGAGGUGGAAUUUUGCGUAGCGCAGUGAAAUGCGUAGAUAUGCGGAUAUGUUCGACGGCGAAGGCAGCCUCCCGGGAUAACACUGACGCUCAUACGAAAGCGUGGAGCAAACAGGAUUAGAUACCCUGUAGUCUCACGCCUCUAAACGAUGUCAACUAGCUGUUAAAUUUCGGCCGGUAGCGCAGCUAACGCGUGAAGCUGACCGCCUGGGGAGUACGGUCGCAAGAUUAAAACUCAAAGGAAUUGACGGGGACCUGCACAAGCAGUGACAUGCGGAUUAAUUACGCAACGCUGAAAACCUCCACUUACCUUGACAUGUCUGGAAUCCCGAAGAGAUUUGUAUGCUCGCAUGAGGAACCGGAACACAGGUGCUGCAUGGCUGUCGUCAGCUCUCGUGGCUGAGAUGUUGUUGUCCGGCAACGAGCGGCAACCCCUUGUCAUUAGUUGCUACGAAAGUGGCACUUAAUGAGACUGCCGGGUAGACAAACCGGAGGAAGUGGGGAUUGUCGUCCUCAUGGCCCCCGCCGUGGGUAGGCUUCACACGUCAUACAAUGGUCGGGACAGAGUGGCCGCCAACCCGCGAGGGGGAGCCAAUCCCAGAAACCCGAUCGUAGUCCGGAUCGCAGCCCGCAACUCGACUGCGGCGAAGUCGGAAUCGCUAGUAAUCGCGGAUCAGCAUGUCGCGGUGAAUACGUUCCUCAAGUCUUGUACACACCGCCCGUCACACCAUGGGAGUGGGUUUUACCAGAAGUAGUUAGCCUAACCGUAAGGAUAAGGACAAUGCUACGGUAGGAUUCAUGACUGGGGUGAAGUCGUACUGAAGGUAA